CAACCUCCAGCUCUAUCUCAAAGAGUGUGUCAGUUAAUGUAGUUAAAACAUCAAGCGGUGAAGAUAUUUUUGAUUUAUUCAACAAGUAUAAUNGACGUCAACUAUGUUCAUUCUUCCAAAAGAAGGGAUUGAACGAUUUGGAACAAUUAUAUAUCAGUUACAUUAAAAAUAACGAUGAAGUAAGUAGAUGCGCAUUCCAAAAUAGAUUGUAUCAAUAUUACAGUUAUAAUAAUUGUAUUGACAAUGAUAUUCUUGAAUUAAAAAAAAUAUCAUCAUCUAAACUUGGAAUAUCUGGUAAAGUGUCUUCUUUAAAGAUGAAAAGAAAAUUACUUAAAUCUAAAUCAAGCAGCAGUAGCAGUUCUAGUGAGAGCAAUAGCAGCGAAUAAUCACUCUCAUGUGUGUUAAAUUGUUAUUGAGUUUUUAGCAUUCUCAAAAUUUUAUUUGUUAUUAUAAAUAAACUGAUUUAUAUGUAAA